GACUCAGCCCCACCGCGGCUUCCAAGCCCUGCCUCCUUCUGCCCGCCGAGCUCCCGGGCCGGCGGCUGGAGAGAGACGCCAGGGCGGCGGAGAGCUAACCCUGCCCCGCCUGAGGCUGCUGUCCCCUCAGGGGCGCCAUGGCGGAGCCCGCCUGAGGGAUCCGUCCCCUCAGGGGCGCGAAGGGCGGGAUAGCGGAGCCCGCCUGAGGGAUCCGUCGUCUGAGAGACAGAGAUCCAUCCCCUCUGGGGCGCCCCUCCAGCGGUGUGAGGGAGCACCACACUCCUCGCUUCUGUUCUUCGUGGGCUUACAAUACUUGCAAACACAGGGCAAGAGCUCUGCUCGUACCUUAAAAUUGAGAAGUUCAUGUGCCGUUCUGCAGGGAUUGCAGCCUGUCAGGGGAACCCGAAGUCCAUCCCAAAUUGUUCAGCUUCAGGGCCAUACACCCAGAAAAGACUAGAAUUAUUUUAAACACUAUCCAUCACGGCUACUCUUUCGUAUAAAAUAAAGUGUUUUUUCAAGGGCCACGUCUGUUUUGCACAAGUAGGAAAACAAGGCCGCGUGAAGCAAAGGUGUUUGCCCCAUGCUAGUGGUGGAAUUGGGGGCAAAAAGCACAAAGACUCACGCCUGGCUCACUGGCCCAGCCAGGUGUCCUGAAAAUUUGCUGUAGGUGAGCUUUGGGGGGGAUUUCUCUUACUUUCAUAAAUCACAGGUACAGGUCACUCCUUGCACUGUGGUUGCUGUGUUCUGUGCUGGUGGUGGGAAGAUACAAGACUUGCAGGAGAUAAUGGGACAGACCAGCAGAGGACACUGGGAAAAAAAAAACAAAAGAAGAGCAGAAAAUCCCUCAAAACCAGAUUUUCAUCUUUCUGCAGAGUCCUCAGUUUCCAAUCCAGAGAUCUCUUUGGGCCCAGGUGUGCCCACAACUAGGGGUGGAAUGGGAGGUGGGUGCAGCAUUGUGGUAACAUCCAAAACUGUCCUGAUUUCCUGACUUUGUAUCCCUGAUCCUUUACCUUGCCCAGGUCAUUCUCAGCUGAUGGUUAGCAAACAGACUCCAAGUCCUUUUAUUGCAGCUGUGACUCACUGAAAACAAGGAUCAGACACACCUUUUCCAUGAAAACCCUGCUGAACUGACUGCCCCAGCGCUUCAGGACUUGGAUGAGGAUCGUAGGCUUAGUGACUGCAGCUUCCCAGGGCUGAGGUCACUCGUGAGGAGUGUUUUUGGGCAUGUGCUGGUGCCAUACGUCAUCCUGGCUGCCCCUGCCUCUCCAAGGAUGCCGGAUUUGAUGUGCAUUAGAGAUUCCACUGCGCUGGAGAAUUUCCAUGGUGCAUUUCCAUGACUCACUAUUCAUGCCAGCUGAUUCAUCUGUGUGACACUACCGUGUGUUUUCUUGUGGUGUGGAAACAUCCUCUUUUAUCCCCCUCUGUGGAGCAAUUCUGACAGUAGCCCUUGCAAACCAGACAAAAUGGGGAAAAGGAUCCAGAAAUCGUGGCUUUGCGCAGCGGUGUCCUUCUUCCUGCUCUAUGCAUGCUGUUUUUCCAGCUGAAUAUUAGCUCUGGAGGAUUUUUCUCUAACUCUCCUCCUUGCAAACACCCACUCGGUAUUAGGCCUUACCUACACUCGACUGUUUUCCAAGUUUGGAACUAGUUAGCGCUGUGCUUUUCUGCGAGCAGGGUUUGGAUCUGCACAGUAAUACUCCUUCCGUAACCAUGGCAGCUCAGGGUGACUCACGCUGCCACAGGCCUGGGCCCAACUUAGCAGGAGGAUUAUUCUCCCCUCUGUCACCAGCUCAGCACGCUGAGAAGCUGGAGCUUCUCCCCACAGUUGCAUAACUGAGCCCUCAGGUUGGCGUUCCUUCGGGGACAACGCCAGGACACGGUGCCCUGCUGUCCCCUGGAGCCUCCCUGCCGGGCUCCCAUCGGAGCUGGUUCCCCAGCCUGGUUAACGAGGGUGCUGCACACACUGAGCUGACCUGUGGGUUUGGGAUCAACACACAUGCUGUGAACGUACAACACAAGAAACCCAAAAAGGACUUCAGCACAAGGACAGAAAAUCUCAGAAACAAAACAAGCAAAGGGGAAGAAAAAAACCACCGUAAUCAGCAGGAAAUUCAGGAGAGAGUUUCAGUUCUCAGAGAGUAGCAAAGAGCUGAGAGACGCUGGAUAACAUCAGUUACUGCUUUGAGGGCGACAUGCCAGGGAAAGCACCGAUCCCAGAAGGUAACUCCGACCUUAUGCAUGUGAUUAAUGUGUAUUAAUCUCCCCAAAGGCACAAUGGCAGGUGGAGAACUACAUGAACCUAAUCAGAUAACAGAAUGGAGCCACCAAACAAUGGUGACACCGCCACAGUGAGUCACCAGAAAGGCUCUCUGGCUCAUACAGGCAAGUGCUGCACAGGUGACCCUUCCAGUUUUCAUCCUGAAGGGCCAGAAAAAGAUUAAACUGCAAAAUUAGCACUCUGAGGAAUGAGAGGCGAAGGAAAAGCUUGUCAAAUCACAGAGCGACAUGCUCCGAGGGAUAAGAGUCAAAGGAAAAGCUGCUGAAACCAGAGAAAAAUGGGAUAUAAAAAAAAGAAAAGAAAGAUCUCAGGGUAAUAAUAAUUAAAAAAAAAAUCUAGAUGUGCUUUGUUAUUUAGCAGAAAGCUGACUUGACACAUCUCAACCCCAUGGGUAAUGGCAGCUUGGUUAUUCCAAGCCAUCUCCCAUCCUCCUCCUACAUGUUCAAAUAUUCCUGUCAGAACUGGUCAAAAUGUUUUAACUUGAUUUUUUUUUUUUUAUUUUGUUAUUUCUGAGCAGAAAUGUCUUUUCAUGCAAAACAAACAUUGUGACAGAAAGGGUAACUUUGGUCAGGAUGAUUUGUAAUGUAAACAAGGAGUCCAGUGAGAAAUAUCAUCAUGUUUGACAUCAGCUUUGUUAUGACAGAAAUCUGAAGUUUGUCUAACCUUAUUUUCUGCAGGAAAGGAGAUAGAGAGACAAAAAGAAAUCAAACUGCUUUUUUUUUUCCUCCCCUCCCCCUGACCCAAUCCAAAAUUAUUUCUCUCAAUUGCAGGUUUUUCAUCCAUCUCAGCCACGCCAUAAUGUUUUUCUCCACCCAGUUUUUUAGGGAACUGGGUCCAACAACUUAGUUUCCAGUUACAGACACACAAGAGCCAUUCCCUGACCUCGUUAUCCUGAGGAAAAGGAUAUUAUCCUGCUGCUUUUUUUGAGAGCAGCUCCAUCCAGCCACAGGCAGGAUGUGUGGGGUCAGCUGUCCUGCGCUUCAACUUGCUCUUGCAUGCUGUGAGUCCUGGCAGGGGGCUUCCUAGGAGGCACAGGGGAAAACCUGAACAUCUGGAGCAAUUUUCGGGAUGCAGAGGUGAGGCUGUGGGUGAUCCGUCAGGACCAGACGGCAGGUGGCACCCCUGGAUUAGCACAGGCUGGGCAGUGCCUGCAGCUGGGCUUCAGCUUCACCCUCCAUGAGCCACAGUAGCAGGGAUUUGGGCUCUUUUGCUGCCAUGCAGGGACAUCCCUGUGUCCUGGGGCUACUCCCCACAGGCCAGACUAUUCCCAUCGCAUUUUAUUUGCCUGGGGACUCAGCUUGGCUUUGGACAAGGGGUGCCCACGGCAAUCGGGGGUGUUGUGCCAGGGCACUGCUCCCAACGGGAUAGGGAAGUAAAGGGAACACCAUGGCUGGCAGGGAAGGACCAGUGCCAGGGUACCUGAGUAAGGAGAGCAGGAGGCAGCCGGGGGCAGCCAAGAGUCCCUGUCAUCCUGCACAUUCACAGCAGUAGGGCAGGCUGGAGGAAUCAAUCCAUAGGAUCAAUGCUGGUGCGGGCAGCCACAGCCAGGUGAUCCCUAGGCAGGUCCAAGGGGACAAAACAGAUCUGAGCUCAAGCUGGGAAAUCGGUCUAGAUCAGGAUUCACAUCAAUAGGGCCUAUAGCUGCAGGUAUAACUGGGACUAAACUAGACCAGCACCCCAGAGGCACAACUCAAACUGGGACUAGCCCUGGGCUGAGCUUAAAUGGGCUCCCAAGCUCAUGGGCAAGUGUGGCUGGGAGUCCCAUCCCAGGCGGGGCUGCUCAGGGCCGUCAGUGCCCCCAGGACUUGUCCCUCAGCCUGCAGGCACUGGUUGCUUGAGAGGUAGAAGAGCCUGUGCCAUCCCCAAAGUGCUGUUUCGUACAUCAGGGGACAUCUCAGCGAGCCAUGUGGUCCCUCUUUUUUUCCCCAGGGAUAUAUUUGGCUGUGCCACCCUGGCCCUCUGCAGCGGAGGUCACUUGGUUUGUUCAGCCUGGAGGAGACUGAGGGGAGACCUCAGUGGGGCCUUCA